rnacentral:lncRNA from 1 species
AAAUGCCUCCAAAGUCUUGAAGUCUUUGACCACCUUCACAGCUUUUUCUUUCUCCUUUUCAGCCUACCAUUGAAAUAUGAGGAGCCUCUUGUCACGCUUUUCUACAGUCUUUUCAGCCUCCCUCAGUUUAGCUUCCAGCUUGGAGAUUCUCUCCACCUCCUUAUCCAGUUUACCGAGCUCAUCUUCAUAGUUAUUUAUUUUUUGCUGCUGGUCCAGC